GGGGGCGGGCGUUGUUCGGAAUCACUGGGUGUAAAGGGUGCGUAGGCGGCGUGGUAAGUCGGGUGUGAAAUCUCGGAGCUUAACUCCGAAACUGCAUUCGAUACUGCGGUGCUUGAGGACUGGAGAGGAGACUGGAAUUCAUGGUGUAGCAGUGAAAUGCGUAGAGAUCAUGAGGAAGACCAGUGGCGAAGGCGGGUCUCUGGACAGUUCCUGACACUGAGGCACGAAGGCCAGGGGAGCAAACGGG
rnacentral:rRNA from 1 species